rnacentral:miRNA from 1 species
CACACGCCAUCCCUUUGGAG